rnacentral:lncRNA from 1 species
GCUCAGGGAGAAGGUAGGGUUCGAUGACGAGGUGGUGGGAUCCAGAGGGAGGAUAGGAGUUGUCGUAAGAGGGAGAAGGGGCAGAUCUGGAGGAGAGGCAGGGGCAAGGAGGAGUUGGGGGCGGCCAGAUUGGGCAAGGGAGGCUGGUAGGAGACCGGGGCGAGCAGCAGAGGAGGACGGAGCAGACUAGGGGAGGAAGGCAGGGCAACACGGAUCAGGGGAGGAACGGUGGGAGGCGGCGGAGAUCUGGGAAUUCGGGGGGUCGGGGGAGGAAGGGGGCGAACAAAGGGGGUGUCCGAAGUGAAGGAGGGAGGGGGAGUUUUAUACAACCCCUCAAACCCUAGCCCUGCUGGGCCAGCCCAAUAAAAAUCCAAAGAAUUUUUCUAUUUAUUUCAUUUUUGUGUUUACCAAUGUAUCUUUUAAGAUUUCAAGUAGAAUAUAAUAUUUAUCCUAAAUACUAUUCAAACCCCAAGCUCGUACUAUUUAUCCCAAGUAUAUGUCUCUAUAAUUUUUAGGAAGAAACAUGCACACACUUAUAGUUAAAAUUUGAAUUAUUUUUGGGAAAUCCGUAGAAAUUCAUUUAAACGGGAAAGAGUACCUAGAAAGCUAGAAAAUUCAAAACCAUUGAAAACUAGAAAUUAAAAAUGGUCUACUCUGUAUGAAAAUUGGAUAGGUGCCAUUUUGAACCAUAUUAGUUGUAGUUGCUUCACAAUAUACCACCUUUUGCACUUAGAAAAACAGAAAAUUAUUUUUAAAACAAAAAAAUUAUUGUAAACCUAUUUGACAAAAUUGUUUGUCAUGACAAUAUUAUGUACCGUUGUGCAAAACAUGGAUACAUUAUCAUAAAGUAUGGCAUAGAAAUGGUCAAAACUUCGGUCAUCAGUGCGGUGGUUCUUGAGUUUAAAACCGACAUAUCAUAUAGCACUCGAUCUAACUGCCUCUGUCUGGAGCUCUGCAUCCUUUCCCUCCCGAGAGACGCCUCAUCAUAUAGCACAUUCAGUAUACUCCCUCCGUGGAUUCGUAUAAGAAUCCAAGUCAGUUAUUUUGGGACGGAGUGAGUACAUGUUUUUGCCUCUACAAAAAUGCACGUUUUGCUUACUCACGGCUGCAGUUGGCCACAACAGUUUGAUUACUGUGCGAGAACGUGAGUUGGAUUAAGUCACAAAAGAUCAAAUCUUACAUACUGAAUGCACGCAUGUGUAUAGUAGCCUAGUACAGUACGAAGCAACCUGUUAGCAAACCAGGAAAUGAAACUCCACGAGUCACUAUAUAUGGAGUGCCAAUUCAGUUGGUGUCAUGCUCGUCAGCGAUGUGGAUGAACCGCAAUAUAUAUUUUGGUAAACAAAGCAUAUAUGUGGACUACAACAAUCUCCAGUCUCACUAACUGAAGCCCAAAACACCAUCGUGAAACAUAACAGCACAAAGGACCACACUGGCCGACCUGGCCACUCACACUCGCUCAACGCACGCUGCCGAAGAAGAUUGCAGUCGAGGUUGCACGCAGAAGUCAUCGUCAUCACACAAGCACUCCUCCUGAGCCGGCGACUCCGACUUCCCCCACCAACGUCCAAGAACGGAGACACUACUCUUGCAGGAACGCAAGCUCAUGUCGGUCCAUGCCAAACAGUCGGCCGCCCUCGCAUGUGAACAAAAGACACCCAUUCUGGGGCGAUAUGCAGGGCCUGCGCCGACAAAGGACCACAAAGAUCGCACCGUCUCACACCAAUUCAUCGUCAUCACGCCUCUGAGCUGGCGACUCCGACUUCCCAACACAACGAAGCAACCAACCCUGAAAAUUCAUCGGACACGUCGGAAAGACCGACAACAAAAACCAUUGCCGCAGCCCCUGGGCAUCGCCAUCGUUGGCCCCGGCCAAGGCCGGAGCGCAGCUUUCACCGAGGCACCGCCUCUCUCUUCUCACACCAACGGCGAAACAAAUCGUCUGCCGCCGCGCCGAGAACACUGCCAACCACCACCAAGGCAGCACCACUGCUGCCCCUGCAUCCUGGCGCAAGAUUUGGCAAGAGCCUAACCAAAUCCGGCGGCAGGGCAGCAGCAGCGCCGCCCAUACCUCGCCCCCCGCCGUCGUGCUGCCGAUAGAGACCGCAGUCACACCACCCGAAAGAGCAGCACGGCAGGCCCCUGCACCGCAGCCGACGACCGCGCGGUGCCUGCCCCCAGCAGGCGGCCUCCCUCCCGCACCGCCGCAGCACGCCUGCACGCCGCCGCCCGCCUCACGCCACCAGCCGAAGUAGUUGCCGCACCUCGAAAUCCGCCGCCAACCGGCACAGGGAGACCCUGCCGCCGCCUUCCGCCGUUAGCCCGUCGGCCUCCUCCGGCGACGGCGAGGGGAGGGACGAGCUGGGGAGGACAGGGGCGGCGGCGGCUAGGGUCUCGCUCGAGCCGCCCCCAAAGAUGACUCGGGCGUGGGGAAAGGAGUUUUUUUAACUGAAAGCAAUAUCCUCUUCUUAGGGCAUGUACAGUGUUUUCACCCGGUUUUCCGUUAAUUAACUGGACAACUCUAUUCUUCUCAAUUAAUAGAUUGAGUCCUUUGGACUCCGGUUUUGUGGAUUCUGAAAUUUUCGCAGGCCUUUAUAUAAUCCCACUGUGGGCGGUAUCCACAUGGCCUGUGAAUAUGCUCAUCUAUUUUCCUUGUGCCAUGGAGAUCAGAUAACGAUAAACUACCAUGAUCGGUGAAAAUCGUGGCACACACACACUCAUCUUCCCAAACAUAGGAGCGGUACGUUGGUUAUGAGCAGAACAACGUACAUGAAAGUUUUCCCGGCUUUCCGAAAAUGUUCCUACUCUUCUUGGAGAGCAAUCACCACAAUACUACUCCUCUCUGUUCCUAAUUAAUCGGUGCCGGAAAUUUUGCAAAAAAAAAUCCUUUCUAUUUCCUGAAAUCGACCUGCAGUCCACGUUUUAACAGAUGUUUUACAAAAAAAAAACCCUGUAGUUUUUCGAAAUCAACGCACAGUCCACGUUCAAUUGAAGACGUGGAGUAUAUGUUGAUUUCGUAAAUUAACAGGAGUUUUUUUUUACAAAAUGGCGAACGCCAAUCAAUUCGGAACGGAGAGAGUAGCAAUUAGUUCCUUUGCCUUUCCCCAUGCACCUGCUUCGCCUAUAUAAACACACAUACCGCAGGUUCGGUUUGCUAUACACUACUGCCAACAUGCACGCAUCCAGGAGCCUUAUGCGCGCUAGCUGCAAGGACGCGACCUGUAGAAUAGGAUUGAGAGGCUUCGGGAAUUUUGGUAUUUCCGCUUCGUGAUUUCGUGUAGAAAUCUGCGAGGCGCUGCAUGCUCACCGAGAGCUGCAAUAGGUUGAUGGGAAUGGCCAGCAACGUACGUUGUGUGCGCUCAAGGCAAAUCAUCUCAAUGCAAGAUUGUGCUGCCCUCGGCUCGAAGAAACCACAUAGCCAUGUCAUCUCAGGGCAAAUUGAUGGGAGUAGCUGCCCUCGGCGUAAGUUAGAGUGAUCAACAUCUCUGAUCGAUCAGCAAAUUGUAAGUUCUGGUCUCCCAAAAAUUGAUGAAGUCUAAAAGAGCUCUUGUUGCAGGGAACAGUGAGGUUGAAAGAAGUCUGUCCACAUGGACAAUGGUCAAUAGGCUCUUGUCCAAGGCGAGGAUUUUUCCUAAGCUAAUAACUUGUGCAAAAUCUGGUAGCUGGUAAUAUUGGCCAGUUCUAUUAAGUUGGAAGAAAUUUGAAGUUGCACUUAUCCAUGGUGGCAUUUCCUCAACCUUAUAAUAUUUUUGCUCAUCUAUUCUUAACUCGGUAAAAUAUUUAUUGCCAGACAACUUGAAUUAAGGGUUAAUCUUCUUAAAACGCCUUCAGAUAUGGGAUCUCUCUGGUUCCCUCAAUCUGCGGGUCGCUUGAGAUGCAAAUAUAAUGGAGUAAAUUUCACAGAACCACACUUUUUGUGGCAGUUGUCUCAUAAAACCACAUUGUUUGUAAUAUGCUUAUAAAACCACAACUUUUGCGGCAGCUGGUCUCAUAAAACCCUAAUCUCGAUAAUUAAGCUAGUUGAUUGUAUUUAAGACAACCCGGGGCCACCAGUCAGAUGCCACGUCAUCUUCCCUGACCCAUUUUCGACGCUCGUUUUCGAUGCCACAUCAGUUUCUACCCGACCCUGAGCAAAUGCAGCUGACGUGGGAUCGAAAACGGGUGUCAAAAAUCGGUUUGAAAGAUGACGUGGCAUCUGACUGGUGGCCCGGGUUGUCGGAAACACCGUAAACCAGCUUAAUUAUCGAGAUUAGGGUUUUCUGAUACCAGUUGUCCCAAAAGUUGUGGUUUUGUGAGACUAUUACAAACAAUCGUGGUUUUGUGAGACGUCUACCACAAAAAGUGUGGUUCUG